rnacentral:rRNA from 1 species
GAUGAACGCUAGCGGCAGGCUUAAUACAUGCAAGUCGUGGGGCAGCAGGUUUGUAGCAAUACAGAUGCUGGCGACCGGCAAACGGGUGCGGAACACGUACAGAACCUUCCUUUGAGCGGGGAAUAGCCCAGAGAAAUUUGGAUUAAUACCCCAUAGUAUAAUGAAGUGGCAUCACUUUAUUAUUAAAGAUUUAUCACUCGAAGAUGGCUGUGCGGCUGAUUAGGUAGUUGGCGGGGUAAAGGCCCACCAAGCCUGCGAUCAGUAACUGGUGUGAGAGCACGACCAGUCACACGGGCACUGAGACACGGGCCCGACUCCUACGGGAGGCAGCAGUAAGGAAUAUUGGUCAAUGGAGGCAACUCUGAACCAGCCAUGCCGCGUGGAGGAUGAAGGUCCUCUGGAUUGUAAACUUCUUUUAUAUGGGACGAAAAAAGGCUUUUCUAAGUCGUCUGACGGUACCAUAUGAAUAAGCACCGGCUAACUCCGUGCCAGCA